rnacentral:misc_RNA from 1 species
AAAGUCGUAACAAGGUUUCCGUAGGUGAACCUGCGGAAGGAUCAUUACCGAAUUGUAGGCUGAAAUAUGCCUAAAUUCCACACCAUGUUUUAAGCUGAAGGUUGUUUUUAAGCGGCCUGAUGCGAACACAUUUUUUAUUCACCGAAUAAAUCAAAACUUUCAACAACGGAUCUCUUGGUUCUG